CCUACGUGGGGCAGCAGUGAGGAAUAUUGGUCAAUGGCCGCAGGGCUGAACCAGCCAAGUCGCGUGAGGGAUGACGGUCCUAUGGAUUGUAAACCUCUUUUGUCAGGGAGCAAAGGGCGCCACGUGUGGCGUUUUGCGAGUACCUGAAGAAAAAGCAUCGGCUAACUCCGUGCCAGCAGCCGCGGUAAUACGGAGGAUGCGAGCGUUAUCCGGAUUUAUUGGGUUUAAAGGGUGCGCAGGCGGAAUGUCAAGUCAGCGGUAAAAUUUCGGGGCUCAACCCCGUCGUGCCGUUGAAACUGGCGUUCUUGAGUGAGCGAGAAGUAUGCGGAAUGCGUGGUGUAGCGGUGAAAUGCUUAGAUAUCACGAAGAACCCCGAUUGCGAAGGCAGCCUGCCGAAGCGUUACUGACGCUGAAGCUCGAAAGCGCGGGUAUCGAACAGGAUUAGAUACCCCUGUAGUC
rnacentral:rRNA from 1 species